GCCCUGGUGGAUCAAGGUAGAUCACCCCCAAAUUAUAAUAUCUAUCCAAGGUUUUAGAGGAGAAUGGAGGUUCGAAUCCUCCCUGGGGCA